AUCUAUCAACCCAACUGAGAUGUAAUCUUGUGUUUGGUGCUUGGAUCAUGAAGGUUGCUGGAGUCAUCAUCAGCUCCUUUUAAAUGCAUUAGCAGAACUUUGUAUCAGCUUUGGUUUGAUAAUAAUUUUAUCUGAGCCAUUGCUGAUAAACAAUAGUUUAGCUUCCAAUUGUCUCACUGAGACUGUCCAAUCUUUGGGCAUUAUUUUG
rnacentral:misc_RNA from 1 species